rnacentral:tRNA from 1 species
AAGGGAGACCUAAUUCAGGUAGGAGACGAAAAAAAAGUAGUCGCUACCAAGAAUCAAUCCCAAAAGGUCGGAGCGAGGCGAAAUUGGCUUUCAAACUAGGUUCUGGGUUCAAACAAGACCUGAAUCAGGAACAAGGGCUAUUAGCUCAGGUGGUUAGAGCGCACCCCUGAUAAGGGUGAGGUCCCUGGUUCGAGUCCAGGAUGGCCCACCUGCACAGGUGGCAAAAACAAGAGAAGCGAGGAAUCAGCACCUUAUCUUACUAACAUAGCAAGAGAGAAUGCUGGCUCUGAGUAAAGAGUCCAGAGGAACCUUGAAAACUGCAUAGAGCUAGGUGAAAAAGCCAAAGAAGAAGACCGCAAGGUCAAGCUAAUAAGGGCUAACGGUGGAUACCUAGGCAC